UGUCCUUUGUUGCGCGGCUCGAUCAGCCAUUUUACGGACGGGAGACGGUGCGGAGAGACGGGCAGCUUGUGUGUCCGUAAUCCUCAGUAGCUGACUUUCUGUAGCGCCCCAAAAACGUUUUCACGUUUAACCGAGAAUCUAAGAUCUGUUGUAACGGUUCCUCGAUCUCAACAGUCCGACAUGUCUCGCGAUCGAUUCAGAAACCGCGGAGGAGGAUUCCAGCAGCGAGGAGGAGGAGGCCGCGGCGGUUUAGGAGGAAUGCGAGGUGGAAUGGGAAAUCCAAAUUUCCGAAACCAGAACACCCCUCAGCAUCCCUUUCAAAACCGAGGACCCCAGCCGGGCGGUGGGUUUAAGCCCAAUCAGGGAAACCAGCCGAAUCAAGCGCAUCCUCCUCCAAACCAGACUAACGUUACACCACAGAAGCCGGAGGCGGGGAGUGGAAACGUCGCCCCGAAGCCCGAAAUUAAGUCCCCGCCGCAGCAGCAACCCCAGCCCCAGCAACAGCAACAACAGCAGCCGCCGCCACAGGGUCCAGGCCUUCCUCAGAACAAAACCCCGACCCCGCAGCCGCUGGGCGGCAGCGCAGGUCCGCCGAAGAUGCAGUCUCCUCCGCCGAAAACCGUGAACGCGAAGCAGGAACCGGCAACCCCUCAGAAUCCGUUCAGAAAAAACCUGCCGAAGCCGGCCGCAGGAAACGGCCAGAAACCCCCGAACAGCCAGGCCCCGCCGCCCCAGGCCGAACAACAGGACCAGAAGCCCCAGGAAUUGAAGGCAACAUUGUCGCUGCUUCGCAAACCUGGAGAGAAAACUUACACUCAGCGAUGCCGGUUGUUUAUUGGUAAUUUGCCCAACGAUAUCUCGGAAGCGGAUUUCAGAAGGUUGUUUGCAAAGUAUGGGGAACCCAGUGAGAUCUUCAUCAAUCAAGGCAAAGGUUUUGGUUUCAUCAGACUGGAGUCACGUGCGUUAGCAGAGAUUGCAAAAGCUGAACUGGAUGACAUUCCCAUGAAAGGCAGACCUCUUAGGGUACGCUUUGCAACACACUCUGCUGCGCUUUCUGUGCGCAACCUAUCCCCCUUUGUCUCCAACGAGCUUCUAGAGGAGGCAUUCUCUCAGUUUGGAGUGGUUGAGAGGGCAGUGGUUAUCGUAGAUGACCGUGGGCGUUCGACUGGGAAGGGCAUCGUUGAGUUUGCUACCAAGCCUGCUGCACGAAAGGCACUCGAUCGGUGCAACGAUGGCGUGUUCCUGCUCACGUCGGCACCACGUCCAAUUGUUGUUGAGCCACUGGAACAGUAUGAUGAUGAGGAUGGUCUUCCAGAGAAGCUUGCUCAGAAGAACCCAAAUUAUCAGAAAGAGAGAGAGCAGCCUCCACGUUUUGCCCGACCAGGCACCUUUGAGUUUGAGUACUCCCAACGAUGGAAGUCUCUUGACGACAUGGAGAAACAACAGAGGCAGCAAGUUGAGAAAAAUAUCCGUGAGGCUCGUGAGAAACUGGAAACGGAGAUGGAGGAUGCCUAUCACGAGCACCAAGCUAAUCUGCUUCGACAAGAUCUUUUGAGGCGUCAAGAGGAACUGCGACGCAUGGAAGAGAUGCAUAAUCAGGAAAUGCAAAAACGCAAAGAGAUGCAGCUGAGGCAAGAGGAGGAGAGGCGCAGACGAGAGGAGGAAAUGUUGCGGCAGAGGGAAUUGGAAGAGCAGAUGAGGCGUAAGCGUGAGGAGUCCUACAGGAUGGGCAGCAGCUUUAUGGACAAUAGGGACAGGGAAAUGAGGAUGAAUCCUGGAGGAGGUCUUGGUUUGGCAGAUAUGCCCUUUGGCUCCCCCAACCAGAAGUUUCAGUUUGCUGGAAUGAACUUCGAUAGUCACCAGGGGAUGGGUGGACCGGCGUCAGGCAUGGUGCCCAACGAAAUGGAGCAUCAAGUGGUUGAGGCAGGCUGAGUGCCAGACCUUUUGAAAUAUGGUCAUUGGAUAAAUGUAGCCCAUAAACCAGUAGCUCUUCAGGCUCGUAUGGAUGUGAUCCUUUGGAGUAAAAGCUGCAGGGAGAGUGGCCAAAUUUACUGGACAGGAGUCAUAAGGAGCAGCAUUUGCAGACUUUUCAGAAUGAUUUGAACACUUUUUUUUUUUUCCUUCGCCUAAUAUGACGUGCGAAUUGAAUUAGUCUGUUAUGUACCCAGAGUUACAGUCUCCAUGUACUUGGUGCUGUUCUUGUUGCAUAGUUUCAAAACCAGAAGUCCCAACACUCUGAAGUUUGGCAGCAUCUAUAGUGUUGUCUACAACAGGUUAAGUUCAAGAGGUUUGUGUUUCUCUUGUUUUAUCACUGUUGUAUCUUAUUGGGUUGCUGUUAAUUCUGGCGUUGAUCCAGUGUAGAGGACGGGAGCCUGCAAGCCGAUAGCACGAAACAGAAGUUGCUGUGAAUGUGGGUCAAUGGUCCUGUCUGACCUGCAUUGCACACUGGCCAGUGAGUUUCUGAAAUGGAAGUCUUUAUUUUUAUCUGAAAAAUAAAAGUUGUGAAGUGUCUGUAACGCGUGUUCUUUUUUGGUUGUGAUUCUAGAGAAUAAUCACUUUUACUUGGCUCAAUAAACCAUGUUCUUUUGCUGUU